GCUUACGGCCAUACCACCCUGAGCACGCCCGAUCUCGUCUGAUCUCGGAAGCUAAGCAGUGUCCGGCCUGGUUAGUACUUGGAUGGGAGACUGCCUAGGAAUACCAGGUGCUGUAAGCU
ensembl:rRNA 5S_rRNA 5S ribosomal RNA